GAGGGUAUAGCUCAGUAGUAGAGUUCAUGCUUAGUAUGCAGAGGUCCUGGGUUCAAUCUCCAGUACCUCCA
rnacentral:tRNA from 1 species